rnacentral:rRNA from 1 species
GUAGGUUGGUAUGAGAGGGGUCUGCGUCCUAUCAGCUUGUUGGUGAGGUAAUGGCUUACCAAGGCAAAGACGGGUAGGGGGCGUGAGAGCGCGGUCCCCCACAGUGGCACUGAAACACGGGCCACACUCCUACGGGAGGCAGCAAUUAGGAAUCUUUCGCAAUGGGGGAAACCCUGACGAAGCGACGCCGCGUGAAGGAAGACGGCCUACGGGUUGUAAACUUCUUUUAUUAGGGAGCAGGAAGGAUAGUACCUAAUGAAUAAGCACCUGCUAACUGCGUGCCAGAAGCCUCGGUGAUGCGUAGGGUGCAAGCGUUGUCCGGAUUUAUUGGGCGUAAAGUGACUGUAGGCGGUCAAGGAAGUUUUGUUUCAAAGACUCAGGCUUAACUUGAGGAAGGGACAAAAAACCACUUGACUUGAGGAAGGUAGAGGAAUACGGAAUGUGUGGUGGAGCGGUUAAAUGCGUUGAUAUCACACAGAACGCCAAAAGCGAAGGCAGUAUUCUGGACCUUUCCUGACGCUCAGAGUCGAAAGCCAGGGUAGCGAAACGGAUUAGAUACCCGUGUAGUCCUGGCCGUAAAUGUUGCUAGUUAAGUGUUGGUUUCGUCAAUUCGGAAUCAGUGCUGAAGUUAACGCGUUAAACUAGCCGCCUGAGUAGUACGACCGCAAGGUUAAAACUCAAAGGAAUUGGCGGGGACCCGCACAAGCAGUGGAGCACGUGGUUUAAUCCGACGGUAAUCGUAGAACCUUACCAGGGUUUGAAUGUAGCUGUGAUUCUUAAGAAACUAGGAAUGUCUUCGAGAUCGCUACACAGGUGCUGCAUGGCCGUUGUCAGCUCGUGCUGUGAAGUGUACCGUUAAGUCGGGUAACGAGCGUAACCCUUGUCCUAUGUUACAAGUGUCUUAGGAGACCGCUGCGGUAAAACGCGGAGGAAGGAGGGGAUGACUUCUGGUCAUCAUGGUCCUUAUGCCCUGGGCCACACACGCGCUACAAUGGCUGGUACAAUGGGUUGCCAAACCGCGAGGUGGAGCUAAUCUCAUAAAGCCAGUCUCAGUCCGGAUUGCAGGCUGAAAUUCGCCUGCAUGAAUGUUGGAAUUGCUAGUAAUCGUGGAUCAGCCAUGCCACGGUGAUACGUUCUCGGGUCUUGCACA